AGUGCGCCUGCGCGCUUGUGGAGCUGGUGGCGGCGCUCCGCAGGGGCUCGGCUGUUCUCCGCGCGGCGGGCGCGGCCAUGGCGCAGCCGGGGAAGCUGCUCAAGGAGCAGAAGUACGACCGGCAGCUGAGGUUGUGGGGUGAUCAUGGGCAAGAGGCUUUAGAAUCUGCUCAUGUUUGCCUAAUAAACGCAACAGCCACAGGAACUGAAAUUCUUAAAAACUUGGUACUACCAGGUAUUGGUUCGUUUACAGUUAUUGAUGGAAAUCAGGUCAGCGGAGAAGAUGCUGGAAACAAUUUCUUCCUUCAAAGAAGCAGUAUCGGCAAGAACCGAGCUGAAGCUGCCAUGGAAUUCUUACAAGAAUUAAAUAGCGAUGUCUCUGGAAGUUUUGUGGAAGAGGUAUAUAUGUACACACACUAUUAUGUCUGUGCUGAAAUACAAUUUUUUAAAUAAUUCAAAAUCCCAGAAAUUUAGAAUUUUGAAUCUUUGUGUCAUUUAUGAUUAGUUGAAUUGGAAUUGUUGCCUCAUUUAUUGUAAAAUAGCUUAACUGUCUCUGCCAUGUUUAAUAUGAUUGUGAAAUUUUUU
rnacentral:sRNA from 1 species